AGCUGGACCACGUGACAAAUAUGUUAUUGUUCAUUUUUAUUUUUGGUCACGUGACGAGGAAAGGGGGUGCUUUGUGAUGAGUGACUAGGAAAACAUAUGAGUGAGAACAUAAUAUGCCAACAAAAGAUCAUAUUUCAAAGUGCUAGAGGGCUUCUGAGAUCAAGAGAUGAAAAUAUCGAAGAAAGCGAGCGUCGUGAACAGUUUAUGAUCGAGGGGACGAAGGCUUUGUUUAUACACCGCGUUUGGAUAAUCGUAUUUUUGCCGUUGUUUUAGUAUGUCAGGAUACGGUUAAACGUUUGAAGUAAUAUUGAACAGUAUGGUUGGCUCUAAUUGUGCUUUGUAUGGCUGUCCGACCAGCAGAACGCGUGAAUUUGCAAUUUUUAAAAUCCCUGUUGUUGGCGCAGCCGAUGUAGUGACUGCGUAGGAGACUACAGCCGAUGGUGAACAAGAAGAGAAAUGCUCGCGAAGAAUGGCUUCGAAUUGUUUUAAAGGACUAGAGAAAAGACGGUAGAUCUUCAGAAACAAAUAAGAUUUUCCUUUGUGAGCGUCAUUUGAAGCCAUUGUAAAUUUUGCAUUUUAUGCAUGCGCUUGUGUGAUCAGAUGUAAACAAAGAGGGCAUUGUAUUUGCAUAUUUACAUAUCCCAUGUUUAUUAAAUAUCUAUCUUCUGUAGACCCCAAACGAAAGAUUUUAUAACUGGUAGCGUACCACUGAAAAUUUACCUACAAUAAACACGAAGUUCCCAAGGCUGAGCGUCGCAUUCUCAACGUAUAAAUACCAGAUAAACAACCUACGAAUUACACACGUUUAUAGUUCAGUGGCUGGCGAGGUGGCUGGUGUGUCCAGUAUUGAAAUUAAAACUGAUGGCAGAUUUAGAUAAUAUGCAAAUAUGGAAAGUAGAAGAAAUUCAAGAUAACCUAGGAGGUCCAAGGCUCAAAAAGCAAUUUAAAAUGCAAAAAAAACUUAAGUUUUUCACUAUCAUAUGAAAAUGGUUUAUGCUUGUUUUGUUCCAAAAGUGGUAUAUUUGCAUGUAAAUAUUUUUUGUGGUCACUCGAUUUUCAUACCAAGAUUGGUGAAUUAAAGGUCAUGAUAUUAUAUUAUCUGGUAUUCAACAGAAAUAAAGUCAAAUCAGGGUACAUCAAAGUUUUAAUGGGUUAAUUAGGGGCUGAUUACACAUGGAGCAUUUUCAACCCUGGGGUUGUCUCCUACAGAUCUACAGUUGGGGCCUACAGUUGGGACCUACAAGGCCUGGGCUGAACCCUCGCCCUUGUCUGUAAUUUAACACCUUCGUUCACCAUACUUACCCGUUUGGAUGGUGAGGUGUUAGCCCGGGUGACCGAGGGGUGGCCUGGAACGACUACUGGUACUACUGUUACUUGGACUCGGGUUAAGAUCCAUACCAGUGGUAUCUUGAGCAGACCACCCCCGCAGGGCUAACACCUUCACACCAAUUAACAAUUGGUGGAAAUAUAAAAGAACAGGAGAGAAAAAAAAUCUUUGUUCCUAAUACGUUUACUACGCUUCCAACGCACAAUGAUUACUAAUACCACCAAUGCGCGGCCAACCUCUUAUUACAUACUCGCCCGGCCCCCUUUUGGUCACAUGAUGUGCCGACGUAACGAGGCUUGGUUCCCUAGCUGUUA
rnacentral:lncRNA from 1 species